rnacentral:rRNA from 1 species
GACAGAGGGUGCAAACGUUGCUCGGAAUCACUGGGCGUAAAGGGCGUGUAGGCGGGAAGGAAAGUCAGAUGUGAAAUCCCUGGGCUCAACCCAGGAACUGCAUUUGAAACUCCCUUUCUUGAGUACCGGAGAGGAAAGUGGAAUUCCUGGUGUAGAGGUGAAAUUCGUAGAUAUCAGGAGGAACACCAGUGGCGAAGGCGGCCACCUGGACGGUAACUGACGCUGAGAACGCGAAAGCGUGGGGAGCAAACAGG